rnacentral:rRNA from 1 species
CCUACGGGCGGCAGCAGUGGGGAAUAUUGCGCAAUGGGCGAAAGCCUGACGCAGCGACGCCGCGUGAGGGAUGAAGGUUCUCGGAUCGUAAACCUCCGUCAGACGGGAAGCAAUUACAUCAUGCUAAUCAGUGGUGUAUUGACUGUACCUUCAAAGGAAGCAUCGGUUAAUUCCGUGCCAGCAGCCGUGGUAAUACGGAGGGUGCGAGCGAUAAUCGGAAUUACUGGGCGUAAAGCGCACGUGGGCUGUAUGACAAGUCAAGGGUGAAAUGCCACGGCUCAACCGUGGAACUGCCUUUGAAACUGGCAAACUGGAGAAUGUGAGAGGGCGGCGGAAUUCCUGGUGUAGGAGUGAAAUCCGUAGAUAUCAGGAGGAACAUCAGUGGCGAAGGCAGCCGCCUGGCACAAAACUGACGCUGAGGUGCGAAAGCGUGGGUAGCAAACAGGAUUAGAUACCCCAGUAGUC